rnacentral:misc_RNA from 1 species
AAGUCGUAACAAGGUUUCCGUAGGUGAACCUGCGGAAGGAUCAUUAACGAAUAACUAUGGCGUUGGUUGUAGCUGGCUCCUCGGAGCAAUGUGCACGCCCGCCAUUUUUAUCUUUCCACCUGUGCACCGACUGUAGGUCUGGAUACCUCUCGCCUCCGGGCGGAUGCGAGGGUUGCCCGUAAGGGCUUCCCUUGAACUUCCAGGCUCUACGUCUUUUUACACACCCCAAUAGUAUGAUGCAGAAUGUAGUCAAUGGGCUUCUCAGCCUAUAAAACACUAUACAACUUUCAGCAACGGAUCUCUUGGCUCUC